rnacentral:rRNA from 1 species
UACGUAGGGUGCGAGCGUUAAUCGGAAUUACUGGGCGUAAAGCGUGCGCAGGCGGCUUUGCAAGACAGAUGUGAAAUCCCCGGGCUCAACCUGGGAACUGCAUUUGUGACUGCAAGGCUAGAGUACGGCAGAGGGGGAUGGAAUUCCGCGUGUAGCAGUGAAAUGCGAAGAUAUGCGGAGGAACACCAAUGGCGAAGGCAAUCCCCUGGGCCUGUACUGACGCUCAUGCACGAAAGCGUGGGGAGCAAACAGG